rnacentral:rRNA from 1 species
AAUUCGAUUGAGUUUGAUCCUGGCUCAGAACGAACGCUGGCGGCGUGGAUAAGACAUGCAAGUCGAGCGCUGAUUCAAGGGUAGCAAUAUUCUUGGGUCGGAGCGGCGCAAGGGUGCGUAACACGUGGGUAAUUUGCCAUGAAGUCUGGAAUAACUUGCUGAAAGGCGAGCUAAUGCCGGAUGUGAUUUUUGGGGAGCAUUCUCCGAAACUCAAAGUUGGGGACCGUAAGGCCUGACGCUUCUUGAUAAGCCCGCGGCCUAUCAGCUAGUUGGUGAGGUAAUGGCUCACCAAGGCUAAGACGGGUAGCUGGUCUGAGAGGACGACCAGCCACACUGGAACUGAGACACGGUCCAGACACCUACGGGUGGCAGCAGUCGAGAAUUUUUCACAAUGGGCGAAAGCCUGAUGGAGCGACGCCGCGUGGGGGAUGAAUGGCUUCGGCCCGUAAACCCCUGUCAUUUGCGAACAAACCUUUUCAUUUAACACCUGAAAAGCUGAUUGUAGCGGAAGAGGAAGGGACGGCUAACUCUGUGCCAGCAGCCGCGGUAAUACAGAGGUCCCAAGCGUUGUUCGGAUUCACUGGGCGU